GGGGAUAUAGCUCAGGGGUAGAGCGCUCCCUUAGCAUGGGAGAGGGCUGGGGUUCGAUCCAAGUACCUUUU
rnacentral:tRNA from 1 species